GACGAACGCUGGCGGCGUGCUUAACACAUGCAAGUCGAACGGAAAGGCCCUGCUUUUGUGGGGUGUUCGAGUGGCGAACGGGUGAGUAACACGUGAGUAACCUGCCCUUGACUUUGGGAUAACUUCAGGAAACUGGGGCUAAUACCGGAUAGGAGCUCCUGCUGCAUGGUGGGGGUUGGAAAGUUUCGGCGGUUGGGGACGGACUCGCGGCUUAUCAGCUUGUUGGUGGGGUAGUGGCUUACCAAGGCUUUGACGGGUAGCCGGCCUGAGGGGGUGACCGGCCACAUUGGGACUGAGAUACGGCCCAGACUCCUACGGGAGGCAGCAGUGGGGAAUAUUGCACAAUGGGCGGAAGCCUGAUGCAGCAACGCCGCGUGCGGGAUGACGGCCUUCGGGUUGUAAACCGCUUUCGCCUGUGACGAAGCGUGAGUGACGGUAAUGGGUAAAGAAGCACCGGCUAACUACGUG
rnacentral:rRNA from 1 species